rnacentral:rRNA from 1 species
AGAGUUUGAUCCUGGCUCAGAACGAACGCUGGCGGCGUGCCUAACACAUGCAAGUCGAACGGAAGUAGCAAUACUUUAGUGGCGCACGGGUGAGUAAUGCAUGGGAGAUCUGCCUCGUGGAGACGGAUAGCUACGGGAAGCUGUAGAUAAUACGUCGUAAGCAGCACGCUAGAGAGAGUGUGCUGGAAAGGCUGGGACCG